GAGCCACUGCACCUGGCCUAGCUGUACACAUUAAAUUGGUGAACUUUAUGUUAUAUGAAUUAUAUCUCAAUAAAGAUAUUUCAGGAAACUAAAACCAAAAAGCCACCUUAGGGCUGAUGGGAGAGGGAGACAGAGGACCCACAGUGUGACUCCUAGGGUGCAGCUGCUCACAAAUGUGGGGUCCACUCUGCAGCUUUCCUCUGAGGUAAGGGUUGGUGGUUGUACCCUCUCCAGGCUCUAGCACUGGACACGAGUGGAGACAGAUGCUCUUGGACCUGAACUGGCCUUGCCACAGACAAGUCAGUGUGGUGCGUCCUCAGCGCCCCUCACGGCGAGGCCUCCAUAGGGUUAGGGAUGUGGUGCAAUCACAGUGACUUGUGAUUUGCAGCUCUCUGAAAAGCACUUGCCCCUGUCUUGUGGAGUUACUGCUGUGAGUCCCACUUAAUAGGGAAACCUGAGCCAGAGAUGGGAAGGGGCUUGAGCAAGGUCAGUUGGGUAUUAGUGGAGGUCAAAUGGUCCUCAGCCUGGUGCGCUUUCUUCUUCCUGUCACUCUGUUCUUCAUCUACAAAUUGCUCCCCUCUCUGCUGGGACAGGGAGGCGGAUCACAGCAGGGCCAGCCCUACUAGUCUUUGCUUCUUGGCAAGGGUGCAGAUUAUUAUAACAUCUGCUUUGCAGGGAUCCCACUGGACAAGGAUGUGGUCACAGAGUUCUCAGGCUGAGAAUCAAUGGAGGUACGUGGUGCUCAUCUGCUUAUGAGGAAGUGAGGAAGAUGCCACUUUCUUGCCUGGUCCACUGAUGGCUCCAGCAGAUGUGACAUAGACUGGAAGUGAUGGACCCAACCAACAAUCAGAACUAAAGCAUCAGAUGAGCCACCUCAGCCCUGUGAGCCAUGCCAGCCACCCUACCUGUGACCCUACCUGUGGCCCUAGUCAUCCUGGAGCAGAGGUGAGCUGCUUCCGCUGCUUUCUGCCAAAAUUCUUGAACCACAACGUUUUGGGCAUAAUCACAUGAUUGUAGUCUUAUGUCACUAUGUUUUAGAGUGGCCCGUUAUGCAGCCACAUACAGGUGACUGGAAAAGCAGCUUACUCUGUCAUCUAGCUACCUGAGAUUUUGGCAUGGAAGUCCCUGUGUCUGGUCUGACUCCUUAGGAGUAAGCAUUAUAUUCUGACUCCUUGGGAGUAAGCAUUUCUGGGUCCUGUAGCAUCUGCCCCAUAUCCUUGGAGAUUCAGGCUCCUAGGAGUAGGGGUGGUGUCUGGGGACUCCCACUGAGUCAUGGAAUCCUAUUGGUGGUUUUACAUCUUAAGACUUCAUCGAGGAUCCGUGGAGGAGAACACUGUAUCAUCCAAAGCAGGUCCCUUCCACAGCUGCAUUUUGCAAACAUACUCAGUAGAAAAAGUGAAGGAAGAAAAAAGUGAGAUUCCCUGCUGCAGGAAUUUUGUGAACUGUCUCGAACACUCACCCCACACAGCCACAUUGGGCUGGCUGUGGAAGGCCCUGGCCGGGUGUGCUGAUUGGACUGUGCUGGGAACAAAAUCUCCCUGGAAGGCAUCCCCGUUCCGCAUGAUAUAGAUACAGGACCCCAAAAUGUUUCUACCCAGAGCCUGGAGUUUCCUAAGUGUUUUCUUCCAGGGGAUUAAUCUCCAGAAUUGGCAGGAGGUGAACAUGAAGUGCCACCUGAAAUUUAGUGGUGGCUUGAACGAGGAAUGGGAUUGGCACAGGUUAAGAAGAAGCUCCUCUCCUGUCUUCUGAGUGUCUGUUCCUGGAGAUGGAACGGUGGGCCCCCCGCUCUCUCAGAAGCCUCACUUCAACCCAUGGGCGAGGGUGGCCCACUCCUUGUUUUGUGGAGUUGGACCUUAGGCUUCUGCCAGGUUUUCAGAUUUAGGCGGGGCUCUCUGUUAAACACAGAGAAGUUAUGGCACCCAGAGAACCAGGACCAGGGUGGGCCCAGAAAGACACCAGGGCUCAAAAUGAAGGAGACAUGCCUCCUAACAUCAUGGAGGUGCUCGUUCAUUAAGGAGGUGUUCUCCCUAAAACUAAGGAGAUAUUUGCCGUUAAAUAAAAAGGUGUUCUAAAAUGAA